UUAAGCGACUAAGCGUACACGGUGGAUGCCUAGGCAGUCAGAGGCGAUGAAGGGCGUGCUAAUCUGCGAAAAGCGUCGGUAAGCUGAUAUGAAGCGUUAUAACCGACGAUACCCGAAUGGGGAAACCCAGUGCAAUACGUUGCACUAUCGUUAGAUGAAUACAUAGUCUAACGAGGCGAACCGGGGGAACUGAAACAUCUAAGUACCCCGAGGAAAAGAAAUCAACCGAGAUUCCCCCAGUAGCGGCGAGCGAACGGGGAGGAGCCCAGAGUCUGAAUCAGUUUGUGUGUUAGUGGAAGCGUCUGGAAAGUCGCACGGUACAGGGUGAUAGUCCCGUACACCAAAAUGCACAGGCUGUGAACUCGAUGAGUAGGGCGGGACACGUGACAUCCUGUCUGAAUAUGGGGGGACCAUCCUCCAAGGCUAAAUACUCCUGACUGACCGAUAGUGAACCAGUACCGUGAGGGAAAGGCGAAAAGAACCCCGGCGAGGGGAGUGAAAUAGAACCUGAAACCGUGUACGUACAAGCAGUGGGAGCACCUUCGUGGUGUGACUGCGUACCUUUUGUAUAAUGGGUCAGCGACUUAUAUUUUGUAGCAAGGUUAACCGAAUAGGGGAGCCGUAGGGAAACCGAGUCUUAACUGGGCGUCUAGUUGCAAGGUAUAGACCCGAAACCCGGUGAUCUAGCCAUGGGCAGGUUGAAGGUUGGGUAACACUAACUGGAGGACCGAACCGACUAAUGUUGAAAAAUUAGCGGAUGACUUGUGGCUGGGGGUGAAAGGCCAAUCAAACCGGGAGAUAGCUGGUUCUCCCCGAAAGCUAUUUAGGUAGCGCCUCGUGAACUCAUCUUCGGGGGUAGAGCACUGUUUCGGCUAGGGGGCCAUCCCGGCUUACCAAACCGAUGCAAACUCCGAAUACCGAAGAAUGUUAUCACGGGAGACACACGGCGGGUGCUAACGUCCGUCGUGAAGAGGGAAACAACCCAGACCGCCAGCUAAGGUCCCAAAGUCAUGGUUAAGUGGGAAACGAUGUGGGAAGGCACAGACAGCCAGGAUGUUGGCUUAGAAGCAGCCAUCAUUUAAAGAAAGCGUAAUAGCUCACUGGUCGAGUCGGCCUGCGCGGAAGAUGUAACGGGGCUAAACCAUGCACCGAAGCUGCGGCAGCGACACUUAGGUGUUGUUGGGUAGGGGAGCGUUCUGUAAGCCGUUGAAGGUGACCUGUGAGGGUUGCUGGAGGUAUCAGAAGUGCGAAUGCUGACAUAAGUAACGAUAAUGCGGGUGAAAAACCCGCACGCCGGAAGACCAAGGGUUCCUGUCCAACGUUAAUCGGGGCAGGGUGAGUCGACCCCUAAUGCGAGGCUGAAAAGCGUAGUCGAUGGGAAACAGGUUAAUAUUCCUGUACUUGGUGUUACUGCGAAGGGGGGACGGAGAAGGCUAGGCUGGCCGGGCGACGGUUGUCCCGGUUUAAGCGUGUAGGGGGAGUGACCAGGUUAAUCCGGUUGCUUAUCAACCCUGAGGCGUGAUGACGAUGCACCACGGUGCAGAAGCAGUUGAUGCCAUGCUUCCAGGAAAAGCCUCUAAGCAUCAGGUAACAUUAAAUCGUACCCCAAACCGACACAGGUGGUCAGGUAGAGAAUACUCAGGCGCUUGAGAGAACUCGGGUGAAGGAACUAGGCAAAAUGGUGCCGUAACUUCGGGAGAAGGCACGCUGGCGUUAGGUGAAAGGACUAGCUCCUGGAGCUGAAGCCAGUCGCAGAUACCAGCUGGCUGCAACUGUUUAAUAAAAACACAGCACUGUGCAAACACGAAAGUGGACGUAUACGGUGUGACGCCUGCCCGGUGCUGGAAGGUUAAUUGAUGGGGUCAGCCGCAAGGCGAAGCUCUUGAUCGAAGCCCCAGUAAACGGCGGCCGUAACUAUAACGGUCCUAAGGUAGCGAAAUUCCUUGUCGGGUAAGUUCCGACCUGCACGAAUGGCGUAAUGAUGGCCAGGCUGUCUCCACCCGAGACUCAGUGAAAUUGAACUCGCUGUGAAGAUGCAGUGUACCCGCGGCAAGACGGAAAGACCCCGUGAACCUUUACUAUAGCUUGACACUGAACAUUGAGCCUUGAUGUGUAGGAUAGGUGGGAGGCCUUGAAGUGUGGACGCCAGUCUGCAUGGAGCCAACCUUGAAAUACCACCCUUUAAUGUUUGAUGUUCUAACUCGGCCCCAUGAUCUGGGGUGAGGACAGUGUCUGGUGGGUAGUUUGACUGGGGCGGUCUCCUCCCAAAGAGUAACGGAGGAGCACGAAGGUUAGCUAAUCACGGUCGGACAUCGUGAGGUUAGUGCAAAGGCAUAAGCUAGCUUGACUGCGAGAGUGACGGCUCGAGCAGGUACGAAAGUAGGUCUUAGUGAUCCGGUGGUUCUGAAUGGAAGGGCCAUCGCUCAACGGAUAAAAGGUACUCCGGGGAUAACAGGCUGAUACCGCCCAAGAGUUCAUAUCGACGGCGGUGUUUGGCACCUCGAUGUCGGCUCAUCACAUCCUGGGGCUGAAGUAGGUCCCAAGGGUAUGGCUGUUCGCCAUUUAAAGUGGUACGCGAGCUGGGUUUAGAACGUCGUGAGACAGUUCGGUCCCUAUCUGCCGUGGGCGUUGGAAGAUUGAGAGGGGCUGCUCCUAGUACGAGAGGACCGGAGUGGACGAAUCACUGGUGUUCGGGUUGUCAUGCCAAUGGCAUUGCCCGGUAGCUAAAUUCGGAAGAGAUAACCGCUGAAAGCAUCUAAGCGGGAAACUUGCCUCGAGAUGAGUCUUCCCUGGGACUUAUAGUCCCCUGAAGGAACGUUAAAGACUAUGACGUUGAUAGGCUGGGUGUGUAAGUGCAGCGAUGUAUUGAGCUAACCAGUACUAAUGAUCCGUGAGGCUUAACCUU
rnacentral:rRNA from 1 species